rnacentral:rRNA from 1 species
CCUACGGGAGGCAGCAGUAGGGAAUCUUCCACAAUGGGCGAAAGCCUGAUGGAGCAACGCCGCGUGGGUGAAGAAGGUCUUCGGAUCGUAAAACCCUUUUGUUAGAGAAGAAAGUUCGUGAGAGUAACUGUUCACGUUUCGACGUUAUCUAACCAGAACGCCACGGCUAACUACGUGACAGCAGCCGCGGUAAUACGGAGGUGGCAAGCGUUGUCCGGAUUUAUUGGGCGUAAAGGAAACGCAGGCGGUUUUUUAAGUCAGAUGUGAAAGGCUUCGGCUUAACCGGAGUAGUGCAUUGUACACUGGGAGACGUGAGUGCAGAAGAGGAGGGUGGAACUCCAUGUGUAGCGGUGAAAUGCGUAGAUAUAUGGAAGAACACCAGUGGCGAAAGCGGCUCUCUGGUCUGUAACUGACGCUGAGGUUCGAAAGCGUGGGUAGCAAACAGGAUUAGAUACCCUAGUAGUC